GGGCUACUGAUUGCUUAUUGCACCACAUGUGUUUUUCUUUGAAACAAACUUGCUUUGGCGGUGGGCCCAGCCUGCCGCCAGAGGUCUAAACUUACAACCAAUUUUUUAUCAACUUGUCACACCAGAUUAUUACUAAUAGUCAAAACUUUCAACAACGGAUCUCUUGGUUCUCGCAUCGAUGAAGAACGCAGCGAAAUGCGAUACGUAAUAUGAAUUGCAGAUAUUCGUGAAUCAUCGAAUCUUUGAACGCACAUUGCGCCCUCUGGUAUUCCGGAGGGCAUGCCUGUUUGAGCGUCGUUUCUCCCUCAAACCGCUGGGUUUGGUGUUGAGCAAUACGACUUGGGUUUGCUUGAAAGACGGUAGUGGUAAGGCGGGAUCGCUUUGACAAUGGCUUAGGUCUAACCAAAAACAUUGUUUGCGGCGGUAACGUCCACCACGUAUAUCUUCAAACUUUGACCUCAAAUCAGGUAGGACUACCCGCUGAACUUAAGCAUAUCAAAAGCCGGGAGGAA
rnacentral:rRNA from 1 species